rnacentral:misc_RNA from 1 species
UUUUUUUUGCACUCUUGAGACACAAGUGGUCGUGUAUCAGAUGUCAGCUGCAGAAGUAUCUCUGCAGUUAUAUGUUUUGAAUUCCUCAAGGCUGCUGAAUGUGCUGCGAUCAGCCGCACUCGCUGAAUAAGGCCCCGCCAGUGUGACGGUGAAGGCAAGUUUUGUUGUGCCAAGUAGAGAAUCCUUGAAGUUACUUUGUUCUGCAGAAACUCUCCCAUUAGUUCAAUAGCCAUUGUAGUAUUUGCUUUGUGCANAGCUCAUUUCUCUUCUCACCAAAAGUUUCAUGACCAUCUAUUUCCAAAUCUUGCAGGCUGGUUGGCCAUUUAGACUUCUUUUCUGAGGUAAGA